UAUUUGUUCUGUAUAUACGCACAUUCUAUUGUUUCUGUAUAUACUCUCAUCCUAUUGGUUCUGUAUAUACACACAUCCCAUUGGUUCUGUAUAUACGCACAUUCUAUUAUUUCUGUAUAUACGCUCAUCCUAUUGGUCUUGUAUAUAAGCAUGUUCUCUGUGUUCUGUAUAUACUCUGAUGCUAUUUGUUCUGUAUGUACACGCGUUCUCGCGGUUCUGUAUAUACUCUCAUCCUACUGGUUCUUUAUAUAUGCUCAUCCUAUUGGUUCUGUAUAUACGCACAUUCUAUUGCUUAUGUAUAUACUCUCAUCCUACUGGUUCUUUAUAUACUCUCAUCCUAUUGAUUCUGUAUAUACGCACGUUCUCUUGCUUAUGUAUUUACACAUAUUCUAUCGGUUCUGUAUAUACCCACGUUGUCUUGGUUUCGUAUAUACGCACAUUCUAUUGGUUCUGUAUAUACGCACAUCCUAUUGGUUCUUUAUAUACGCAUGUUGUCUUUCUUCUGUAUGUACGCACAUCCUAUUGCUUCUGUAUAUACGCACAUCCUAUUGGUUCUGUAUGUAUGCACAUCCUAUUGGUUCUCAAUAUACUCUCAUCCUAUUGGUUCUAUAUAUAUGCACAUUCUAUUGGUUCUCAAUCCUAUUGGUUCUGUAUGUACGCACAUUCUACUGGUUCUCAAUAUACUCUCAUCCUAUUGGUUCUGUAUAUACUUUCAUCCUAUUGGUUCUGUAUAUAUGUACAUCCUUAUGGUUCUGUAUAUAUUCACAUCCUAUUUUUUCUGUAUAUACGCACAUCCUAUUGGUUCUGAAUAUACUCUCAUCCUAUUGGUUGUGUGUAUACGCACAUUCUAUUGGUUCUGUAUAUAUGCACAUUCUAUUGGUUCUGUAUAUACUCUCAUCCUAUUGGUUCUGUAUAUACACACGUUCUCUUGGUUCUGUAUAUACUCUCAUCUUAUUGGUUCUGUAUAUACGCACAUCCUAUUGGUUCUGUAUAUAUGCAUGUUCUCUUGUUUCUGUAUAUACGCACAUUCUCUUGGUUCUGUAUAUACUCUCAUCCUAUUGGUUCUGUAUAUACGCACAUCCUAUUGGUUCUGUAUAUACGCAUGUUCUCUUGUUUCUGUAUAUACUCUCAUCCUAUUGGUUCUGUAUAUACUCUCAUCCUAUUGGUUCUAUAUAUGCGCACAUCCUAUUGGUUCUGAAUAUACUCUCAUCCUAUUGGUUGUGUGUAUACGCACAUUCUAGUUGUUUAGUAUAUACUCUCAUCCUAUUGGUUCUGUAUAUACGCACGUUCUCUUGGUUCUGUAUAGACUCUCAUCCUAUUGGUUCUGUAUGUACGCAUAUUCUAUUGGUUCUCUAUAUACUCUCAUCCUAUUGGUUAUGUAUAUACGCACAUCCUAUUGGUUCUGUAUAUAUGCACGUUCUCUUGUUUCUGUAUAUACCCUCAUCCUAUUGGUUCUGUUUAUACUCUCAUCCUAUUGGUUCUGUAUAUAUGCACAUUCUCUUGCUUCUGUAUGUAUGCAUAUUAUAUUGGUUCUGUAUAUACGCACCUUCUAUUAUAUAUGAUUUUGUAUUCCUUGGCUCCAGUCCUAACGGUCAUGCUGUGUCUACAAUAUAUAUGAUAGUACGUGCCUUCUUUCCUGUCCUCCUGGUGAAGUUGAGAAUACCAUAUAGUCAUACCUUAUAUGACAGUGUACACCUUGGAUACAGUCCUCCUGGUGAAGUGGAAACUAUGGUUUAUAUAUUAGUAUAUACUCUGGUAUCACUCCUCCAGGUGUAGAGGAGUCUACCGUAUGUAUGAUAGUAUAUGCCCUGGCUCUAGUCCUCCUGCUGAUGUGGAGUCUACCGUUUGUAUGACACUAUAUGCCCUAUCUCCAGUCCUCCAUGCGAUGUGGAGUCUACCAUAUACAUGAGAGUAUAUGCCUUGGUUCCACUCCUCCGUUUGAAGUGUAGUCAACCGUAUAUAUGGUAGUAUAUGCCUUGCCUCCAGUCCUCCUAGUGAAGUGGAGUCUACUAUAUAUAUAUAUAUAUAUCAUAGUAUAUGCCUUGCCUCGAGUCUGCCUGCUGAUGUGGAAUCUACCUUAUAUAUGAGAGUAUAUGCCCUGUCUGCAGUCCUAAGGUGAUA
rnacentral:lncRNA from 1 species